rnacentral:rRNA from 1 species
GAUGAACGCUAGCUACAGGCUUAACACAUGUAAUUAAGAUUAAAGAUUUAUCGGUGUACGAUGGGGAUGCGUUCCAUUAGGUAGUAGGCGGGGUAACGGCCCACCUAGCCUACGAUGGAUAGGGGUUCUGAGAGGAAGGUCCCCCACAUUGGAACUGAGACACGGUCCAAACUCCUACGGGAGGCAGCAGUGAGGAAUAUUGGUCAAUGGACGAGAGUCUGAACCAGCCAAGUAGCGUGAAGGAUGAAGGUCCUACGGAUUGUAAACUUCUUUAUAAGGGAAUAAAACCUCCCACGUGUGGGAGCUUGUAUGUACCUUAUGAAUAAGCAUCGGCUAACUCCGUG